ACGGAAGGCAGCAGUGGGGAAUAUUGGACAAUGGGGGAGACCCUGAUCCAGCCAUGCCGCGUGAGUGAUGAAGGCCUUCGGGUUGUAAAGCUCUUUUACAUAGGAAAAUAAUGAUGGUACUAUGAGAAUAAGCACCGGCUAACUUCGUGCCAGCAGCCGCGGUAAUACGAAGGGUGCAAGCGUUGUUCGGAAUUACUGGGUGUAAAGGGCGUGUAGGCGGAAUGUCAAGUCAGUGGUGAAAUCCCUAGGCUCAACCUGGGAACUGCCAUUGAUACUGAUGAUCUAGAGUGAUAGAGAGGAUGACGGAAUAUCCAGUGUAGAGGUGAAAUGCGUAGAUAUUGGAUAGAACACCGGUGGCGAAAGCGGUUAGCUGGCUAGUAACUGACGCUGAGGCGCGAGAGCGUGGGGAGCAAACAGGAUUAGAUACCCUGGUA
rnacentral:rRNA from 1 species